GAUGAACGCUGGCGGCGUGCCUAAUACAUGCAAGUCGAGCGAACGGACGAGAAGCUUGCUUCUCUGAUGUUAGCGGCGGACGGGUGAGUAACACGUGGAUAACCUACCUAUAAGACUGGGAUAACUUCGGGAAACCGGAGCUAAUACCGGAUAAUAUUUUGAACCGCAUGGUUCAAAAGUGAAAGACGGUCUUGCUGUAACUUAUAGAUGGAUCCGCGCUGCAUUAGCUAGUUGGUAAGGUAACGGCUUACCAAGGCAACGAUGCAUAGCCGACCUGAGAGGGUGAUCGGCCACACGGGAAGUGAGACACGGUCCAGACUCCUGCGGGAGGCAGCAGUAGGGAAUCGUCCGCAAUGGGCGAAAGCCUGACGGAGCAACGCCGCGUGAGUGAUGAAGGUCUUCGGAUCGUAAAACUCUGUUAUUAGGGAAGAACAUAUGUGUAAGUAACUGUGCACAUCUUGACGGUACCUAAUCAGAAAGCCACGGCUAACUACGUG
rnacentral:rRNA from 1 species